CGUAGGCGGUUCCCAACCCCACUGUAUGGUCCGCGUCACGCCAGAUUUUGAAGAACUGCUUGAACAGAGGGGUCUCCCCAUUCUCAGGUCGAGGAUAAAGAUGUCUCCCUGGUUGAAGCUGUCCCAACUGACUGCUACCUCUGUGGCUCGAACCACACGCCGACCCCUGACCUGGAGCAUACGCUGCACCUUAACCUCAUUGGACACCACAUGCUUGAACCCUGAAGCCACACCCCCUUUCUAAGGUAAAGAUUGGGAAGAUAAUCAGUAAGUGGAAAUACCCGGCCAUGGAGCUGGGUUGAACACCGCACCCGGACUAGGCACCGGCGCAGAGGAAGGCUCCGGCCUUGGAGCGGGACUGGACGCCGUGCCUGGACCUCGGCACAGAGGAAGGCUCCGGCCUUGGAGCGGGACUGGACGCCGUGCCUGGACUGGGCACCGGCGCAGAGGGAGUCUCCUGCCAUGGAGCGGGACUGGACGCCGUGCCUGGACUGGGCACCGGCGCAGAAGGAGUCUCCUGCCAUGGAGCGGGACUGGACGCCGUGCCUGGACUGGGCACCGGCGCAGAGGGAGUCUCCUGCCAUGGAGCGGGACUGGACGCCGUGCCUGGACUGGGCACCGGCGCAGAAGGAGUCUCCUGCCAUGGAGCGGGACUGGACGCCGUGCCUGACUGGGCACCGGCGCAGAGGGAGUCUCCUGCCAUGGAGCGGGACUGGACACCGUGCCUGGACUGGGCACAGGCGCAGAGGGAGUCUCCUGCCAUGGAGCGGGACUGGACGCCGUGCCUGGACUGGGCACCUGCGCAGAGGGAGUCUCCUGCCAUGGAGCGGGACUGGACACCGUGCCUGGAAGCUCCAGACCGUUGACCCUCGCUGGAGGUUCCCGGAACGUUGACCGUCGUAGGAGGUUCCGGACUGUGAACCGCGCCGAAAGCUCUGGACUGUGAACCGUAGCCGGAAGCUCUGGACUGUGAACCGUAGCCGGAAGCUCUGGACUGUGAACCGUAGCCGGAAGCUCUGGACUGUGAACCGUAGCCGGAAACUCUGGACUGUGAACCGUAGCCGGAAACUCUGGACUGUGAACCGUAGCCGGAAGCUCUGGACUGUGAACCGUAGCCGGAAGCUCUGGACUGUGAACCGUAGCCGGAAACUCUGGACUGUGAACCGUAGCCGGAAGCUCUGGACUGUGAACAGUCGCCGGAAGCUCUGGACUGUGAACAGUCGCCGGAAGCUCUGGACUGUGGACUGUCGCCGGAAGCCUGGUGCGUGGAGCCGGCACACGUGGCACUGGACCGGUGACACACACUUCAGGGCGAGUGCGGGGAGCAGGCACAGGCCGUACCGGGCUGGGGAGGUGCACUGGUGGCCUGGUGCUUGGAGCUGGCACAGAUGGUACCGGGCUGAGAUGGUGCCCCUCAGCACGCCUGCGCUGCAGCAUACUCCUUGCCAAAACCUCUCUCCGGUGUCUCUCAUUACCUUCCUCUAUCAACUCCCACACAGGCUCUGGCACUCUCUGCUGCUUGACCGCUAGCUCCGCCGACCACCCAUCGUGUCCCCACCCCCCAAAAACAUAUUUGGGUUGUCCUUGGGCUUUCUGUGGGUGCGAACCCUGGCGUCGUCGCGGUCCUCCCUUUUUUCCUUCCGUCUGCCGCCAAGGAAGGAUUUCACAUCCUCUCAAGUCCAAAACCUCCUCACCUCAUGUUCACGCUGCUUGGUCCUUUGUUGGUGGGAUCUUCUGUCACGGUUGUGUGGAGAGACGGACCAAGGCGCAGCGUGAUUAAAGUUCCACAUACUUAUUUACACAAAACUUCCAAACAAAAAGAAACAAACAACGAACCGUGACAUCUGAGGUGCCAGAUGCACUAACUCAAAACAAGAUCCCACAAAACACAGUGGGGCUGCCUAAAUAUGAUCCCCAAUCAGAGACAACGAUAAACAGCUGCCUCUGAUUGGGAACCAUACCAGGCCAACAUAGAAAUAAAACAACCUAGAUUACCCACCCUAGUCACACCCCGACCUAACCAAAAUAGAGAAUAAAAAGGCUCUCUAUGGUCAGGGCGUGACAGUUGCUCUAUGUUUAUAAUAAAAACAAUGUUUGUUGUGCUUUACUCUAGCAUUGAACAGGUUAGGUAGCCGUUUUCUACUUAUCAUAUUGCAUAUAAUAUACUGUAUAUGUUAAAUUUUAGAAUAUGGUAGAUUCCAUCAUGUAAUACGACAUUUACCAAAACAUGUAUUUAUGGUUUCAGCAUAUACUGUACAAAUUGAUAACUUAAAAAUACAUUUGAUUUGCUAAAGGUACAUUGACUCUUCCCUAAUCCACUUUAUUCUCCCAGUCUUUAUUUCUACAUUUAGUUAACCUCAAAUGAUACAACAGGUUUGGGUUGUCUUUUUAAUCAUAAUAUAUGGUAUUGUCUUGCCUCACAGAUAUCAUGAUAUACAAUAAAAAUACAGAAUGAACUGAUUUAUUUUCCAUCACUGUGGCUUGUCCAAAAUCCAAUAUAUACCACAUACACAAACAGACACACUCCUUCUUCUGACUAUAAGGUGAUAUGGCCACACUGCUAUGAAAAACAUACUGUAUAUU